GAUGGCUCAGGGUGAACGCUAGCUACAGGCUUAACACAUGCAAGUCGAGGGGCAGCAUGAACUUAGCUUGCUAAGUUUGAUGGCGACCGGCGCACGGGUGAGUAACACGUAUCCAACCUGCCGAUGACUCGGGGAUAGCCUUUCGAAAGAAAGAUUAAUACCCGAUGGCAUAGUUCUUCCGCAUGGUAGAACUAUUAAAGAAUUUCGGUCAUCGAUGGGGAUGCGUUCCAUUAGGUUGUUGGCGGGG
rnacentral:rRNA from 1 species